rnacentral:rRNA from 1 species
UACGAAGGGGGCUAGCGUUGUUCGGAUUUACUGGGCGUAAAGCGCACGUAGGCGGAUCGUUAAGUCGGGGGUGAAAUCCUGGAGCUCAACUCCAGAACUGCCUUCGAUACUGGCGAUCUUGAGUCCGGAAGAGGUGAGUGGAACUCCUAGUGUAGAGGUGGAAUUCGUAGAUAUUAGGAAGAACACCAGUGGCGAAGGCGGCUCUCUGGACCGAUACUGACGCUGAGGCGCGAAAGCGUGGGGAGCAAACAGG